CUCCAAGGAAACAAACCGCGAUUCUGAUUUCCCAUCUCCCUCCACAGCGCUCCACUGGAGUACGCCGGGUGCUUUGCUUGGGAAGGAGGAGGAUCUGUAACCCCAGCGCUGAGGGACUUCGGGAAGCGAGGAGCCAUUUCACAGCGUGAGGCGCUCCGUGAGGGAGGCGAUGUGAAAAAUCAGCCAUCUGCAGGUACACCAGGCUUUUGAAUUUGUGGAAUUUAAGUGUAUAUUUACUGUUGGAAGAGCAUGAGAAACAGUCGAUUUGCACCUUGAUCAAAAGAAUACAUUUCUUAAUGAAAAACAGAGCCUUUUGUAAAAAAUAAAUAAAUAAAUGGGAAGGUUCUCCCAGGGAACUAUGUAUAUGGCUAUUAUUUAAACCACAUUCUCUGGAAAGAAGAAUAAUUCUGUAGAAAGAAAUGUUUUGUAUUUGCUGUAUCUUAUGCGGCUUGAGCACUUUUGAGUCCCUUGUACUGGUAAGGCUAAAAAACCCUGACAGUAAUUAUUAAAUGAAACUAAAAAUGGCUCCACUGAAGGCAGUUGUGUAAAAUAAAAAAUAAAUAAAUAUAUAAAACAAACCUGUGUGAAAUCACACCUGGAUCCACAGGGGAUCACCCUAUGUAAUCAGCAGCAAGGUCACCACUGAUGUUGCCGGGCUGAGGAGAAGAUCCAAAGAACCAGCAAGAAGAAACGAGAACAAUGUUACCCAGUGUAAUUAAAAGAAAUGCCAAAACAAAUCUGGUUUUUGUGGGGGCUCUUUCAGAAUUGUUGAAGCCAAGCCUACUUGUGUAUGGUAAGAUGUAGCUGUAAGGAUACAUGGAAAAGUCCAGAGCUCUCUCUGGGCUGCACUAAAACAGGCAGGCAGUCCCUCUCUGACUUCAGGAACAGUUUCCACAAAGUCUCUCUUUACAUUUGGAAUUCUCCCUUACAUUCUGGCAAGCGAAGCAGAGACAUUACUCCGUGACUAAUGCUAAUGUUGCGGUAGUAAAAUAUUGGGCAAAAAAAUGGGAAAAGCAGGCCCACUUGCCUACAAGAAUGAUUUAAUUAAAGUUUUCACUGUUCUAAAAUAGUUAUGUUUCACAUCGUAAAGAAUUUUUCUGUCAUGAAAACUAUUUUUUUAAGGGGAAGGAGAUUUUUCUUUGCUGCAAGCUGACUUUAUUGGUAAGCAAUUAAAUAUUUCUUUGGAUUGCAGUUCAAAAUUAAUUACUCAUUAAUGUGGAAAAACCAGCUUUAGCCUUUCUGUGGAUUCAGAGGUUUCCAACUGGGUGCAUCUAAUUCCAAGAAGAAAAAAAAAAAUCCUAGAAGGAGUAUUAUAAUUACUGUCAUAUGAAAACCUGCUUCAGUCCAGAUGUAGAAGCCAAUAGCCCCAGAGUGUUAACAUUGAGCAGUCUGCUGCAGGGAAAUGACAGAUGAAUCCUACAUAUGUUUGCAGAAUGGACAUAUUAUACUGUCCUUCUAGAAUCUCUUUGGUUUGUUUUCCUUUUUCUAAAGCUCCUAAAAAAAACCCAAAAAACCCCCAAAAACAAACAAACAAACAAACAAAACCCCCAGAUCUAUAGUCUGAGAGGUUUCAGUGUAAGACACCUCUCCAUAAAAUCUGGAUCCUAAACUUCUAUACCUAACCAAUGCUGUCCACAUUCUCUACCCUCACAAGGAAUUCCACUGAAAGUAAUGAAAUUAGUGGUGGGAGUAAAUGUUAAAGAGCUGGCUCCUAAUUCCAGGUUUUCUCCUUCAAGGAACAAACAAGAGCUUGUGGCUCCCCAGGGACUUGCAGCAAGGACAGAGAAUUGUCAGAAGUGUCAGGUGUUAGGAAUCACACCUUCACAAGUUCAGCUCAAGGGAGUGAAUCCUCAGAAAUCUGAAAAUAGUGAGGAUGACAGCUGCAAAUAUGCAGAUUUCCUACUGCAACCAGUAGCAGCUUUUGUGCAGAAAGAUUUCAGAAGCAACAAGAAUCCUUUCCUUUUCCUUCACAAAUUUUAUUAAUUCAACCAAAGUCUGUGUCAAUUCCGCCUUAAUAAAAACCAAUAAAAUUCUGGGAUGAUUUAG